UACGUAGGGGGGCUAGCGUUGUCCGGAAUCAUUGGGCGUAAAGCGCGUGUAGGCGGCCCGAUAAGUCCGCUGUGAAAGUCGGGGGCUCAACCCUCGAAAGCCGGUGGAUACUGUCGAGGCUAGAGUACGGAAGAGGCGAGUGGAAUUCCUGGUGUAGCGGUGAAAUGCGCAGAUAUCAGGAAGAACACCCGUGGCGAAGGCGGCUCUCUGGGACGGUACUGACGCUGAGACGCGAAAGCGUGGGGAGCGAACAGG
rnacentral:rRNA from 1 species